CAGUCGCCGCGGGAAUACGAAGGGUGCAAGCGUUAAUCGGAAUUACUGGGCGUAAAGCGCGCGUAGGUGGUUUGGUAAGAUGGAUGUGAAAUCCCCGGGCUCAACCUGGGAACUGCAUCCAUAACUGCCUGACUAGAGUACGGUAGAGGGUGGUGGAAUUUCCUGUGUAGCGGUGAAAUGCGUAGAUAUAGGAAGGAACACCAGUGGCGAAGGCGACCACCUGGACUGAUACUGACACUGAGGUGCGAAAGCGUGGGGAGCAAACAGGAUUAGAGACCCCAGUAGUCCCUGUCUCUUAUAC
rnacentral:rRNA from 1 species